GGCCAGAAGAGGAAUCUUGCUGCAAAGGACCAUUUGUUUGCAGGGCUGGCUCCUCUGUCUUCCUUUGCAAGAAUUCUAUUUGCUUACCUGUGAGCACAACACUCCUUUUCCUGCAGCUUGACAACCUGCAUCACAACAAGGACUCAUUUCUCAAGCCAUGUUUAAGGCAAAAGAGCUUCAAUUAACAUGGGAAGACAGGAUGGAAACUUCAAAAAAGGGACAGAAAAAAAGGCCCAUUUUCGUUUCACAGUGAAAAGAGUACAUGGAAAAUACGCUUAAAAGUCAGUGAAGAAAUUAGCCAAUCAUGCAUUAUCUUGAUUAAGUGAAACCUAACUUGCUCAUUAAGAAAUUCCCAUAAUUUUUGUGAGUGCAAUUCAUUCUCUCUCCCUUCCCCCCACCUCCUCCUCCUCCUCCUCCCUCUCUCUCUUUUUUUCUAUCUCUCUCUGAUAUGGUUCAGUUGUGUCUCCACCCAAAUCCCAUCUUGAAUUGUAAUCCCCAUAAUCCCCACGUGUCAUGGGAGGGACCUGGUGGGAGGUGAUUGGAUCAUGGGAGCAGUUUCCCCCAUGCUGCUCUCGUGAUAGUGAGUGAGUUCUCACGAGAUCUGAUGGUUUUAUAAGCGUCUGUCAUUUCCCCUGCUAAUGCUCAUUCUCCUGCCACCCUGUGAAGAGGAGCCUUCCACCAUGAUUGUAAGUUUCCUGAGGCCUCUCCAGCCAUGAGGAACUGUGAGUCAAUUAAGCUUCUUUUCUUUAUCAAUUACCCAAUCUUGGGUAUUUCCUUAGAGCAAUGUUAGAACAGACUAAUUCAUUUUCUCUCUCUCUCAUAGUUAUGCUACUAUAUAGAAUUAUUGAAGAAUUAAUUCACCUUCGUAAGCAGCUACUAGCUUAAAAAGAAUUAAUGUGGCUCUCGAAACACCUACUUUAUUCGUUAAGGAGUAACUUAGGCACUGGUUAAGAACAGAGUCCAAUUGUCUUUGGAACCUUAUUAAGACAAAAAGACUCCAGGAAAACGUAGGUAACUAAAAGCCAAGUCAAUACAUGUCUUAAACUACUGUGGCAAGUGGUAAUGGCAUCUCACAAUUACUUUCAUCUUUCCUGUAAUGAAUGAUUACAUUUGAUAAGAAAGAAUUCCAUUUUUCCAUUAAACAAUCUUAUGAGAUGUUUUGCUUUAGGGUAACCACAUACCUCAUCUCUACCACAAGACCUGGUGUUCGCAUUCAAGCCAGUUGACAGCAAUCUUUCUCAAUUUAUUCCUUCUCCUAUCUCUACCCAUUGAUCCCUGGAGUCCUUUCACAGGAGCAAUGUCAGUAAACACUUAUCACUGAAUAGGCAGCAGGUGGUUCCUCAAGUCUAUAUAGCACACAGUAGCAGUUCGUUAGAAUGAAAGAAUGAACCACCACCACGCCUCCCCUGCAGCAAUCCCCUUGCCGCUGUUGGUUUCUAUAGAGACCCAUGAAACUUUUAGCUAUUGCAAAUUUUAUUUUCAACUUGUAAUUCUUUAUCAACAUAUUAUUAGGAAUUGUAUACUUUGUGUUCUCAGCUUUUCUUUAAAAUUUUUUUACUUGUCAGCCAGGCGCGGUGGCUCACGCUUGUAAUCCCAGCACUUUGGGGGGCCG
rnacentral:lncRNA from 1 species